GCGAGGGGAACCUUUUGGGGAGUUUUCUGUGCGAAGUGCCUACAAGCUAUUACAUGAGGAUAAUACUAAUCUUAAUUAUUUACAGACUGAGAUGGAAUAUUUUUACAAAAAACUUUGGAACAUUCAUAUUUCAGCCAAAUUUAAGAUUUACAUUUGGAAAAUUUCCUAUAAUUUUAUUCCUACUCUAGCUAAUUUGUUCACAAAAAGAAUGGUGACGAAGAUAGCGCGCCCAAGAUGUGGAGGGGCUGUUGAGAAUGUUGAUCACCUUUUGCGAUACUGUACUGUUACACGAGAAGUCUGGGUAAGCUUAAAUCUUGAUUGCGUAUUGGCAGGAAUAAAUAUGGAUUGCUGGGAAUGGCUUACUUGGGUAUUUAAAAGCAGUAUUGGGUCGCAAUAUUGUUUAUUCUGCUGUUCCUUGUAGGUGAUCUAGACUGACAGAAAUAAGGGGUUAUAUGAGGGGAAGAGAAGUACGGGUUGUGAUAUUGCUGCAUGGGUCAUAAGGUAUGUUAAGGAAAUAAACGAGUGCAAGACUAGUAAAUUGACCAAGGUAAACGUAAAUGUGGAAUGGUGCCCCCCGAAUGGGUCUAAUAUUAAAUUGAAUUUUGACGCGGACUUUGAUGAGGCACAGGCUAAAUCGGCUUCAGGGGUGGUUGCGAGAAAUGCUUCUGGAGAGAUUCUUGCCUCUAAAACAGUGGUACAUAGGGCAGUUGCUUCUUCGUUUGUAGUAGAGGCACAUGUGUGUCCCCAAGCAGUUUACUGGGGAAACAAAAGGGAUUUACAUCAGUAAUAAUUGAAGGGGAUUCAACAUCAGUUAUAAAGAAAAGUAAGUCAGAUCUGGUGGAUAGAUCAUUGAUAGGGGCUUUGAUAAGGAACAUACAAUGUCAAAAACGAUUCUUUCAUCAGAUAUUAUUUAAGCAAAUUCCAAGAUCAGCGAACAUAAUGGCUCACGAACUAGAUAGGGAAGCGAUGAGAAAUGGGUCACGAACUUAACUUCUGGACGAACUGCCUGAGCAAGACGCAACGAAAGUUGGUUCGUGUAGAAGGAGAGAACCAGAUUGAAGAUUGGCUAAGGAACGCAUUUGGGUUUUGGGAUGAGAUUAAGGAAGUAAAUAAUGGUCUGUUGGUUUUUGGAAACUACUUCCUGGGGACUGGAACCUUUGGUAUUAAAAAUGAUGACAUCUAGUGGGUGCCAGCUAUGAAUCAGACUAGGGUGUUCUCUGUAUUUUUAUUUUGUUUUUCUGUUUUUGCUUUUUUCAGUAGGCCUUGUUCAAGCCCGAAUGUUUAGACUUGUUCUAUGGGUUCAUUGUUUUGUGGACCUACCUGGUAAGUUUCUUUUGUGUUUCUUUUUUAUCAACUAAUUACCCGUCUGAUAAUUUCCA
rnacentral:lncRNA from 1 species